rnacentral:rRNA from 2 species
AGAGUUUGAUCAUGGCUCAGAUUGAACGCUGGCGGCAGGCCUAACACAUGCAAGUCGAACGGUAACAGGAAUCAGCUUGCUGAUUCGCUGACGAGUGGCGGACGGGUGAGUAAUGUCUGGGAAACUGCCUGAUGGAGGGGGAUAACUACUGGAAACGGUAGCUAAUACCGCAUAACGUCGCAAGACCAAAGAGGGGGACCUUCGGGCCUCUUGCCAUCGGAUGUGCCCAGAUGGGAUUAGCUAGUAGGUGGGGUAACGGCUCACCUAGGCGACGAUCCCUAGCUGGUCUGAGAGGAUGACCAGCCACACUGGAACUGAGACACGGUCCAGACUCCUACGGGAGGCAGCAGUGGGGAAUAUUGCACAAUGGGCGCAAGCCUGAUGCAGCCAUGCCGCGUGUAUGAAGAAGGCCUUCGGGUUGUAAAGUACUUUCAGCGGGGAGGAAGGGAGUAAAGUUAAUACCUUUGCUCAUUGACGUUACCCGCAGAAGAAGCACCGGCUAACUCCGUGCCAGCAGCCGCGGUAAUACGGAGGGUGCAAGCGUUAAUCGGAAUUACUGGGCGUAAAGCGCACGCAGGUGGUUUGUUAAGUCAGAUGUGAAAUCCCCGGGCUCAACCUGGGAACUGCAUCUGAUACUGGCAAGCUUGAGUCUCGUAGAGGGGGGUAGAAUUCCAGGUGUAGCGGUGAAAUGCGUAGAGAUCUGGAGGAAUACCGGUGGCGAAGGCGGCCCCCUGGACGAAGACUGACGCUCAGGUGCGAAAGCGUGGGGAGCAAACAGGAUUAGAUACCCUGGUAGUCCACGCCGUAAACGAUGUCGACUUGGAGGUUGUGCCCUUGAGGCGUGGCUUCCGGAGCUAACGCGUUAAGUCGACCGCCUGGGGAGUACGGCCGCAAGGUUAAAACUCAAAUGAAUUGACGGGGGCCCGCACAAGCGGUGGAGCAUGUGGUUUAAUUCGAUGCAACGCGAAGAACCUUACCUGGUCUUGACAUCCACGGAAGUUUUCAGAGAUGAGAAUGUGCCUUCGGGAACCGUGAGACAGGUGCUGCAUGGCUGUCGUCAGCUCGUGUUGUGAAAUGUUGGGUUAAGUCCCGCAACGAGCGCAACCCUUAUCCUUUGUUGCCAGCG